AGCGAACGCUGGCGGCAUGCUUAACACAUGCAAGUCGCACGGACGGGCUUUCGGGUCUGUUAGUGGCGGACGGGUGAGUAUCGCGUAGGGAUUUAUCGUUGGGUGGGGGAUAACCUUGGGAAACUGGGGCUAAUACCGCAUGACGCCCUCUUGUGGGGCCAAAGCCGUAAGGUGCCUGACGAGGAGCCUGCGUCCGAUUAGCUAGUUGGUUGGGUAAAGGCUGACCAAGGCAUCGAUCGGUAGCUGGUCUGAGAGGAUGAUCAGCCACACUGGGACU
rnacentral:rRNA from 1 species